rnacentral:rRNA from 1 species
AACGCGAAGAACCUUACCUACUCUUGACAUCCAGAGAACUUACCAGAGAUGGAUUGGUGCCUUCGGGAACUCUGAGACAGGUGCUGCAUGGCUGUCGUCAGCUCGUGUUGUGAAAUGUUGGGUUAAGUCCCGCAACGAGCGCAACCCUUAUCCUUUGUUGCCAGCGGUUCGGCCGGGAACUCAAAGGAGACUGCCAGUGAUAAACUGGAGGAAGGUGGGGAUGACGUCAAGUCAUCAUGGCCCUUACGAGUAGGGCUACACACGUGCUACAAUGGCAUAUACAAAGAGAAGCGACCUCGCGAGAGCAAGCGGACCUCAUAAAGUAUGUCGUAGUCCGGAUUGGAGUCUGCAACUCGACUCCAUGAAGUCGGAAUCGCUAGUAAUCGUAGA